rnacentral:rRNA from 1 species
AGAUUCCCUCUGUCCCUAUCUACAUUCUGGUGAACCCACAGGCAAGGGAACGGACUUGCAUGAACACAGCGGGGAAAGAAGACCCUGUUGAGCUUGACUCUAGUCUGAAUUUGUACGGAGACAUCGGAGGUGCAGCAUAAGUGGGAGGUGCGCAAGCACCGGCUCGUGAGAUACCACUACUCCCUUCGUCUCCGUACUCUACUCGGUUAACGGGAGGUCAAAGUGAAUGCCUAAUAGCGGGUCUGGGGGGCGCGUCGUUCGCGGCGCGUCCUUCCUCUCGCGACGAAGCUCUCCUACCGAGGACAGAUUCAGGUGGGGAGUUUGACUGGGGCGGUACAUCUGUCAAACAAUAACGCAGGUGUCCCAAGGCCAGCUCAACGAGAACGGAAAUCUCGUGUAGAGCAUAAGGGCCUAAGCUGGCUUGAUCCCGACUCUCAGUAAGAGUAUGGACGGUGAAAGCCAGGCCUCACGAUCCUUUUGUUGUUAUAGUGAGUUUCUAGCAAGAGGUAUCAGAAAAGUUACCACAGGGAUAACUGGCU